AUAACUGUGGUAAUUCUAGAGCUAAUAUUUUAAAGAAUGCCGUGACUCACGAAGCGGCGGAUUUAUUAGAUCAAAACUAACCUGUCGCAAGACAGAAAUUUGAUGACUCUGGAUAACUUCACUGAUCGUAUGACUUUUAGUUGACGACGAAUCUCUUGAAAUAGCUGACCUAUCAACUUUAGAUGGUAAGAUCAAAGCUUACCAUGGUUGUAACGGGUAACGGGGAAUCAGUGUUCGAUUCCGGAGAGGGAGCCUGAGAAACGGCUACCACAUCCACGGAAGGCAGCAGGCGCGAAAAUUACCCAAUACCGGUUCGGUGAGGUAGUGACAAAAAAUAACAAUAUGGACCCUAGUGGUUUCAUAAUUGCAAUGAGAACAUUUUAAAUACUUUAUCAAGUAUCAAUUGGAGGGCAAGUCUGGUGCCAGCAGCCGCGGUAAUUCCAGCUCCAAAAGCGUAUAUUAAAGUUGUUGCAGUUAAAAAGCUCGUAGUUGAAAUUGGGGAAACUAUUUAGUAAGAAGUCUAUGAUGGAUUAUUAAAUGUUCCUUCGUCGUCGUGUAUAUUGUCAAGUCACUUAAUUGGGAUUUUUCAAUAACCGACAAGUUUACUUUGAAAAAAUUAGAGUGCUUAAAGCAGGCUUAUGCUUGUAUAUUGUUGCAUGGAAUAAUGAAAUAAGACUUUGGUUUUAUUUUGUUGGUUUUCGAAACUAAAGUAAUGAUUAAAAGAGACUGCCGGGGGCAUAUGUAUGCUGGUGCUAGAGGUGAAAUUCUUAGACCAUCAGCAGACAACCUACU
rnacentral:rRNA from 1 species